rnacentral:lncRNA from 1 species
AGUAUGGAAUUAAGGACAGAGUAAUUCGUGACUCUCUAGGUCUUGUGGUCAGUUUCGAAAUUUCUACCUUGUUGCUUACAUUUAAAGAACCUUAAACCAAGCCUAACCUAAAGAAGGGAAUCACCCCAAGUGUGGCAAGUACCUAGUUACAGGUUACACUAGUGAAAAUCCUCUGGCAGUGGAGGUGAUGCUCUUUCCUAAUCCUAAGAAGUAGAAGAUGCAUCAUGGAUGCUGUUUACAUUCCUUUGAGGCUCAACAAAGUUAGUGUUUAUCCAGUGAUUUCAAAAUAACCUGAUGAGAAUAGUCUUUGGAGUAAGUCAUCGGGUAUGCACAAAGGAAAUGCAUUUUGCUUUGACACCCCUUCUCCUACUCAGAAAUGAUGAUCUGUGCCCUAGGCUAUCAAACAUCAGUGCUCAGAAUUAUUCACAAAGCGUUUGUGGUUCAAGUGGUAAAUCUAGGCAUUUGCAAAAUGUUGACCCAAGUGAGUCAGCAUGGAAAGCUUGAUCUUUCAGUUUGAUGAAAAUGUAAUUUUAUGGAUGUCAAGUUGAAGUUCAAAAGUGACAUAUCGUGUCACACAGAUAAAUUGUUUUGCCAAAAGCAAUGCCAUAAUUCAUAAGCACUUGUCUAGCCAAUAUUAACUAUCUGGCUGAUUAAGUGAAAUACUUGAUAAUAAAUGCAGUCUUUAUCAUACAUUAUUAUAUGUAUUUAUUGAUAAAUACAUUAUUAGUAAUGUAUUUAUGAUACAUUUAGUCUUUUCUGAAUAAUAAAUAUUGUCUCAUUUAAGAGUUGAAAUUAGUGAUAAAAGUCAAUAUCCAACAUAAAACACAUUUGUUUCUUUUGUGCUUCUUUUGGCCUCACAAGAUUAAUUUUAGAACAAUACCAAACAAUGAAGUAUCUGAUAGUGGUUCCCAUCUUGUCUCCCCUUAGACCAACUGGAUAACAAUGCUGGGGGUGAAAAAUACAUAUAAAAAAAGUUAUUCUCAACGUGCAUUUAGUGCUGAGAAGGAUAGACUUGUACAUAAAGAACCUUCUUUAUAUUCUGGCCCAGAUCUACUUUCUAUCAGAUCUUCUGUAGUUCCUGACACUUCUCUGCUCUCAGAUUCUGGAAAGCCCACCAUGGAGCCCUGCAAACGUUGCAUGGUUAUUAUGUCUGGUAUGGCCUUCUCUCCCACUUUUAUGGAACCGUCUGUUCUCCUCUUAAUACUUAUAGUUUGUUCUCUGCAUUGAGUCUGCUUCUAUUUUACCAUAUAUAUUUAUUUGUAUUACUUUUUAGGUUUUACAUAUAAGUGAUAUAAUAUAGUAUUGGUCUUUCUUCACCUGACAUUUCACUAAGAAUAAUAUUCUCUAAGUCUUUCCAUAUUGCUGCUAAUGGCAGAAUUUUGUUCUUUUUUAUGGUUUAGUAAUAUUUCAGUGUAUAUAUAAUACAUCUUCUUUAUCUCUCCAUCUGUUGAUGGGCACUUAGGUUGCUUCCAUGUCUUGGCUAUUGUAAGUAGUGCUGUUCCGAACAUUGAGGAGCAUGUAUCUUUCCAAAUUAGUGUUUUCAUUUUUUCCAGAUAUAUGCCCAGGAGUGGUCUAUAUUUCAUUUUUUGUAUUUAAAGUGCUCAAUGCAGAGACUGGCACAUACUACAUAGUGAAUGAACCAAUUGGGGCUUAAAUAGAGCGAUGAGUAGAAGAUCAUUACAGGAAAGCAAUGUUCUGAGACACACCUCCCUCUAGACUCUAGUCAAAAUUUAACUUUUUAAAAAAUUUUCCCUAGCAUAACAGCCUGCCAGCUCCCUAAUUCAACAGCAGUUAUUCCUUUAUUUGUAAUACCUCCAACUAUUAGAGACAUUCUUUGUAUCAAAUGAUCUUACUCUUGUAUAAUCAUGUUACUUUGCAUUUUUAACCUCAUCUUAAUAAUUUUGCCUACUUAAGCAAAUUCUUUGGCCUCCUUAAUAAAAUUUUUGCCUUCUUAAAUAGGAGUCCCUAUUUUGUAUAUAUUUUGUCUAACUCUCUUCUCUCAUGUUAUAUAUGUACAGUGCCCUGCUCCUAGGAGGAACUGAGUACAUAUUUGUUGAAGAAAGGAAAUUAAAGAGAUUAUCUGGUAUAUUGAAAUUCUGUUUUUGAUCUUCUCUCAUUUCAUUAUUCAAUAAGAAAUCAAAAUGGUGGUACACCUUUAAUUUUAAAAAGUUGAUUGAUAUUCAAAAAGUUAGUGUGGUCAUUAUCUUGAAUUUAUAAGGAGAGCGGCUCUUUGAAUUUCUGUGAAAAGUAAAGGUCAAACCAUAAAUAAUUAAGUGUAUUAAUAUUGGCUAUUCCUGUCAGUCAUGAGACAGAAUGGAAAUGUAUAUAUUUUUGAUGGAAAGAGCUUUUGAUCACAAAUCACUCUUUUCAGACAUCCUUGAUAAAUUGAUAGCAAGGAUUUUUUUUAAAAAAUGGAUUUACUGCUCUUUAAGUAUUUCAUUUGGCACAUUUCUUGAAGUGAUACAGGUGAGUUCCUUAAUUCCUAAAUGAUGUGGCCUUUGAAGUUGCAUAACAGAUGGUGAGGAAGGGAGAUAAUGCAAUGUCAUCACCAGGAAUAUUCUUUGUUUCUUUGAAUUUAGGCCAUUUGAUAUCACUCCAUUUCUCUGGCACACUGAAAAUGCAUAUCUUAUGCAUGAAUAUCUGCAGUGUUGGUGCAAAUCUGAGGCUUCCUUACAAAUAACAGUAGAGAUGCUUCUGGAGCAGCAAACCCAUAUUGUUGGGGAGGCCAGCCACUGACAACACACUUUGUACUCACCAUGUCAUGUCUGCUAGGUGUUGACAGCAGAGAAAGUGCCACCUCCUUGGCCUGAUUCAUCCCUUAUGUGAUUUCAGCCUUGGGAGCUCAUAAAAAAUAUGUUUUUGGUAAUAGCCCAGAUAGCUUCUAUAGAUGCAUUCCACUUUAAGAGAAUAUUUCUCAUAUACUUUCUUUACUGAUUAAUUCAGCUGCCUGUGCCAUAAAUCUCCACCAAAUCAUGAAGCUCUUGGCUUGGCUGUUUUCAUGAGGGCUGUGUCAACACAUCUGUAAUUCUAGAACAUAUCCAGCUUCUUGCCAGUUUCCCUGUCCCUCACAAGAUUAUUUAAUGCUUAAUUGUGAGUGUGGACAUACUAAGGAGGACCUUUCAGUGUCAAGUUUUAUCCUAUCCAGAGCCUACAUUUCAGUUUAGCAGAUGUUGUACUUUGAUUGAUGCUCAGCAUGAUGAUCCUGCCUCAUUCCUAUUUCCAGGGAAUAUUAUGAGGGAGAGUUAACUUUUUUUCUUUGCACAGUUUCUUUUCAAACAAUUUUCUGUUAUUUGAAAAGCCCUGACAUGUAGAUUUUAUCCAGAAAAGCAUUUUAUUAGGGAAUAGAUAGUGCAAGAAGUGGAAUUGAAGUAAGCUUAGUUUGUCCUUUUUUUUUGGUCAGGGAGCUUUUAAAGUUAUUUUAAUUCUGUCUGUAUCUUAUUUCCUGACAUGUUACCCUUUCUUUGUUUUGGUAAGUCGCUGUUUGUUACAAGAUCAGGAGCCACUCAGUUUCAUUCCAGAAUUAUAUUUUAUACUAUUUACUUCAUCACAUCGACUAGAGCCUGAAUUCAAGGCUCUCUGGGCUGAUUUACUGAGCAAGGCCUUUUCAUCAGACAGGGAUGUGCUGCUGUGAAGUCAUUGCUUCUCCUCAUUUGUAGGUCUCUCCCGGUCUCUUCUCUAAGUUAAACCUGCCUCAAGUGUUCAAUGACCCACUAUAGACUCUGCUAGCAAAAAGACAGUCACAAAACCAACUGCACCUAGUGGGGAUAUAAUGACAUUACCGAUCACUCAAAUCUACCUGAGGAGUGUGGUAAACUAUCUUUCCCACUCUCCCUCUCCCCUUCAAAAGAAAAUCAAAGCAAUGAAAUGAAAAUGAAAUUAUUCAUAUGCAGCAAAAAUCAAGUAAAGCUGACUCAUAAAGAAGGCAAAGAAACUCAUUUGUUCAGUUUAAUCCCCAUCACCAGAAAGUGCCCACUUGGAUUUGACACCUUAGAAGGCAAGUUCAGAGAGCAUGAUUUUUGUCCUUUGGGGGGUUUUUCUGUUUGUUUGUCCUUUUGCUUUUUUAGGGCCAGACCUGUAACAUAUGGAGAUUCCCAGGCUAGGAGUCUAAUUGGAGCUAUAGAUGCCGGCCUAUGCCACAGCUACAACAAUGCAGGAUCUGAGCUGCAUUUGCAACCUGUACCACAGCUCAUGGCAAUGCCAGGUCCUUAACUCACUGAGCGAGGCCAGGGAUUGAACCUGUGUUCUCAUGGAUAGUAGUUGGGCUAGUUAACCACUGAGCCCUGAUAGGAACUCCAGGGAUUUUUUUUUUUUUUUAACAUGUAAACAGAUGUGUAAAAGAUUUGCUAUGAACAUUAAACAAAUAAAAGAAUAAACAUUCAUAUUUUACAGAGUAGCUAAUGAUGGACUAAUGCCAUUAACAUCUACAGCAAAAACAUACUUUAGAAUUAUUUUUCUAUAGUUUGGUUUUAGAAUUCUGUUUGUUAGCUUUAACCAGAGCAUAAUUAGAAACUCAUCUUGGGAGCUCCCAUCGUGGCGUAGCAGAAACAAAUCUGACUAGGAACCCUGAGGUUGCGGGUUUGAUCCCUGGCAUUGCUUAGUGGGUUAAAGAUACAGUAUAGGUAGCAGAUGUGGCUUGGAUCUGGUGUUGCUAUGGCUAUGGCAUAGGCUGGCAGCUGUAGCUCCGAUUAGACCCCUAGUCUGAGAACCUCCAUAUGCUGUGGGUGAAGCCCUAAAAAGCAAGGAAAAAAAAAAAAAAAGGAACUCAUCUUGCCAACUCUUUCAUGGGGUUAAUAUCUGGCUUUAUUUGUAUUAACUCAUGCCUAUGUAAUACCUAUCAUGUGUCAGGCUAGUCUCAGCCCAUUAUAAGUAAUAACUCAUCUAAUCCUCAUAACAACUCUAGAGGUAAAUAACAUUUUUUUCUCUUUCUACACAUGGGGAAAUUGGGACAUAAAGCAGUUAGUCAGCUUGCCCAGGUCACUUACCUCAUGAGGUUCAGAGCCAAAAUAGAACCCAGACACUCUGGGGCUCAGGAGGCCAACAUUUAAGAACUAAGCUAUACUUACCUUAGUGUUCAGAGACAUUUCCAAAAGGAGAGUUCCAAAGCUGAUGUGGGCAAUGCCCACAUCAAUGUCAAUGACACUGUAUAUAUUAUUGACAUUAAUGUCAACAACUUAAGUAUGUGGCCUUCCGAAAAGACCACACUGAUUUUGCUGUUUUCCUGUCUCUGAAAAAUCCAUCUUAUUCUAUCUGAUAUAGCUCAUAUUUCAGAAACUAUUAGAGACAUUGACCACAUUAGUUGUUGAUGUAAAAUGCAAACCAAAUAAAAUUCUUAUUUCAAGCACAAUUCUGACACAUAUGACAAUGAUGAAAAUAAAAGAUUAUUAUUGGCAGUAAUUAUCAGCCUGGAUGCUCAUAAGUCUUAUGACCAGAGGCAAGAGCAUUUUACACUCUUCAUGUGUAAAAUGUGGUUAUUGGAUAGAUGAUCUCUAAACUCACCUUUCCAAAACUAAUACUGUAGUAGUUUAUAAUUCCAUGUACAAAUAUUAAUUUGUGAAUCAGUUUUCCAUACUGUAAACCAUAAUGGACAGUCUUUAGCUGCUAUGUAUAUUUAGAAUCUCUGGCCAUCCCUCUCUACAUAUAUUUAUAAUUUAUAAACACACACACACCCCUUACUCUUUAAUGGAUUCCAGUCAUGUUCAGGAUAAAGUUGAAGUUCCUUGGUUUGGUACACAAGGUCCACCAUCAUCUUUGCCCACCUCUCCAGUCUCUUCUCUUGCCAUGUUUCCUCCAAUUAUGCCCUACAAACUACUUAUUAUUUCAUUGAAAUGGGUGUUUUGACACAGGUGUCUGCCUUGAACAUUAUACUCUCUCUCUGGAAAAUUUUUCUCCUUUUUUUCCCA